UGCAGUCGAACGGCAGCACGGGUGCUUGCACCUGGUGGCGAGUGGCGUACGGGUGAGUAAUAUAUCGGAACGUACCUUAUUGUGGGGGAUAACGCAGCGAAAGCUGUGCUAAUACCGCAUAAUCCCUUAGGGGGAAAGCGGGGGACCGUAAGGCCUCGCGCAAUUAGAGCGGCCGAUACCUGAUUAGCUAGCUGGUGAGGUAAAGGCUCACCAAGGCAACGAUCAGUAGCUGGUCUGAGAGGACGAUCAGCCACACUGGGACUGAGACACGGCCCAGACUCCUACGGGAGGCAGCAGUGGGGAAUUUUGGACAAUGGGGGAAACCCUGAUCCAGCAAUGCCGCGUGAGUGAAGAAGGCCUUCGGGUUGUAAAGCUCUUUUGUCAGGGAAGAAACAGCAGCUCUAACACAGUCUGCGAAUGACGGUACCUGAAGAAUAAGCACCGGCUAACUACGUGCCAGCAGCCGCGGUAAUACGUAGGGUGCAAGCGUUAAUCGGAAUUACUGGGCGUAAAGCGUGCGCAGGCGGUUAUGUAAGACAGGCGUGAAAUCCCCGGGCUUAACCUGGGAAUUGCGCUUGUGACUGCAUAGCUAGAGUAUGUCAGAGGGGGGUAGAAUUCCACGUGUAGCAGUGAAAUGCGUAGAGAUGUGGAGGAAUACCAAUGGCGAAGGCAGCCCCCUGGGACAAUACUGACGCUCAUGCACGAAAGCGUGGGGAGCAAACAGGAUUAGAUACCCUGGUAGUCCACGCCCUAAACGAUGCUGACUAGUUGUUCGGGAAUUUAUUCCUGAGUAACGUAGCUAACGCGUGAAGUCAGCCGCCUGGGGAGUACGGUCGCAAGAUUAAAACUCA
rnacentral:rRNA from 1 species